rnacentral:lncRNA from 1 species
AUGUGCUUGAGGUACCACCUGCAGGCAAUGGCCUUUGAUCUUCCCAAGCAAGGAACCUGUUUAGAAGGAGCCUCUGGAAAUGAGACAGCAGGCUGUGAGCUGGGGAGCUCUUCAGACAGGCGGAAGGUUGUCACCUCUUAUAAAAUGAACUUUGAAAUUAUGAUUCAUAACCAGGUUCCUUUGACAGUGCCUGCCCUCAGCUUUCCUGCCUGUGCUGUGCUGCUUGUGCUCCAGACUGACUUGGACACCAGCAUCCGGGAAGCCCAAAGGGGGGGGGGGGGGGCCUUGAGAGCAGAGGGCUGUGCUGGCUGGGAGAGGAGAGGAGGCCUUGGAGUUGACAGUUUCCUCUCACACUUUGAGCAUGACUCUGCUGCCUGGAGACGUCCCUGCAGGGAGCUGUUUCUCCAUCCCCACGUCUCUCCCCUCUCAGUGCUCACACACCCCAUCCCACCCACUGGGUGCUCAGCUCUGCCCUGCAGAAACCUCCCGAGGGCAGGGCACUGCCAAUUGACACCUCCGUGUUUGCAGGUGCUACGGAGUAGGUGAGACAAACCUUGCUGAGGCUGGAAAGGGGAUGCUGGUUCUGUCCUUAGGCUGAGGGGCGGAUGAAGGCAUUUGCUGAGUCCCUCCCAGAACUGAUCCUCUCUCAGUGUCACUGUUUUCGAGCCUCCGUCCUCUGUCUAAACCUGACAGAGCCAAUCCCAUUUCACCCAACCAAAAGAGCAUCAAAGUGAAAGCACAGACUCAGGACAGCUCCUUCCCUUUCAUAUAAUCCCUGCCUUGACCUUCCUUUUGGAAAGGCCCCUCCAGAAAUGCCCUGGGAGUGAGCUGGAGCUGUGGGCAGCCCUGACCCAUGCAGCAUCCUCCUGAGAGAAGGCUCAACCUGCCCUGACGGGGGUCUCUCCUCCCACCCAGAGCUUCUCCCCACAGCACUGUGGGGAGCUCCCCGGACAGGCUGAGUGUGGCAGAGUCACUACUCUGGGCGCACAGCACCCUGCAGCACAGGUACACUGCUGCGAAUUACAGCCCUGGGCAGACCUGUCUGCACACCCAGUCUUCAUACCUGUUCAGUGUCCCUGGGAGAAGGUAGCAGGAUGCCCAGUAGCAUUGUCCUGCAGCCAGAGACUUACCGUGUCAAUGACUGUGAAGAUUUCUCUCACAAGGAGCUCUCCUCUGUCCUCCCACUCCACACUGCCUUUCAUGUCUCUCUGCCUUGUCUCAUCUUCUGGCAGCAAUUGAAAGCAGUGUCCGCAGCCCUGCUGCUCUUUGCAGAGGAGCUGCUCCUGCACACAGCUGUCUCUGGGCAGUGCUGACAGGUUGCCAUGAGCUCCCUCCAUCCCCAGAACCUGGCCCUGCUCAGGAGCAGAGGUCCAGGUGAAGGCAUGGAUUUCUCUGUCCCUUGUGCUCCCUCCUCCUGGGAAAUGUUCCCUGAAGUAGACUAAAAUAAUCAGCUAUUGUCCUUUUCUAAAGAGUGCAGAGAGACUGAUUCCAGCAUUGCAAUUUGUCUUAUCAGAGAAAGGUGUCUUAUCUAUGAAAGGUGGAAACA